AACAUCCACAUUUUGGCGCCGUCUGUGGGGACGGAGGAUUCUUGAGUCGUCAGAUUUCUUCUGUGUAUUACAUAACCGAAGUAAGCCGCAAUGUAUGGAGAGGAUGCUACCAACGCUUCGAUAGCCGAAACCCUCAAGACCAUGCAACAAACUAUGGGAUAUGGCGCAGAAGUUUUCAAACGUGGAAAAAACCGUCGAAACACUGCAAACAACCCAGGUAUCGCUUAGCCAAAAUGUUAGUACCAUUCCGUCUCAUGUCCGUUCUUUAAAUGCGGGAAAUUCUACUAGAGUUCGAAGGACUAUCUUCGGAUCCCCAAACUCCCUUCCACGAAAUGCAACAAGCGAUCAAACGACCCUGGAUGGUACAAACGCGAAUAGUCAACCGGAAUAUGGAGAAACGCAUCCUAAAGAUGAUAACCAGUUCGAUGAUCAGCACGAGCAAGAAAACUUUGAUCAGCUCGAAACCAUGAGAGAAGUAAGUCGGGAACUCAAAGAAAUGAGGUCGAAAUUCCAUCAAGCUACAAGUUCGGAGCCAGACAUCAACCAAGUUAUCGAGGAGGCUAGGCGAACACCGUUCACCCGCGAAUUGCGAGUUUGAGAAUCAGAGAUUAUCAAAAACUCAACUUAGAACCAUAUAAUGGUUUGGAAGACCCGAAAGGCUAUCUCGCAGCUUUUCUAAUAGCCGCUGGGCGAGUUGAUCUAAACGAAGCCGAUGAAGACGCAGGGUAUUGCAAGCUUUUCUCUAAAAAUCUAUGUGGGCUAGCCCUGAUGUGGUUCACUCAGUUGGAACCAGGAUCGAUUAGAAAUUUCAACGAACUAUCGGCAGUAUUUUUAAAACAAUACUCAAUUCUGAUGGAUAAGAGCAUUUCGAUACCGACCUCUGGAAUCUAUCUCAAGGGCCGAAUGAGACACUUCGGGCUUU
rnacentral:sRNA from 1 species